UUAGUAUAGGAGAAAUUUGCCAGAACAUCAGGAAACAUCACCAUUGGAGGGAGGUGUGUCUGCUAGACUUUUGACUUAAUUGGCAGUCAAGCUGUAUACUCAGUGAAUUGUGUGGGAAAAUAGGAGGAAGUGGCUGCUGUAAGCAGAAACACCUGUUGCAAGAGAUAAUUAGAAUUAGCUUGGCACUGGUUCCUUAUUAGAUUUUUUUUAGGUUUGUUACUUGGACGUUUAUUGUGAGAGCUGCUAAGCUUGCUCUACAUUGGCUGAUUAUUCAGCAUUAUAGUGUUUUUUGCUUCAAAAACUGUAUUUAUUAAUUUUAUUCAGUAGAAUGUUGGAGAGCCUUGCCUAGGCCAGAGGUUAUCACACACAAAAGGGAAGAUGUAGGCUUGCUAAAGUUGAGAAGUAAGGAAAGAACUGCUAUGGACAGUAAUGAAAGCCCCACUUCCCUGAAAUAAUCAGCAAUCUGGGUUCAAGAAAACUGAAAAUCAAGAUUUCAGUCCUGCAGUGUUGACCGCAAAGUUUUUGAAACCAGAAGGUGUACUGCAGUUCAGACAGGCAAGUGCAAAUUGAUAGUACUUCCAUGUGCAAGAAUAUGAUGGGAGCUCAUGGUAUGCUUACAACUGAUCAUCAUGCAGGCAUUUGAGUUGGAAAUUCCUAUGGCUAAUUCUUGAAGUAGACAGGCAGAACAUUCCUUACCCAGAAAUGCGUCAGAGUAAAUUCUUUAUUUAAGCUACAACCCAUGUCCCUUUCUACUCCUCUCUGUCCCACUGCUACAUUUGUUCGUCAGCACCAUCACAAAAACUGUUUUCUUGAUUGCUGCUAAAAGUGCAAAACGUUUCUUUUAGUUAUUGUUUCAUAGUGUGGGACCAAAUAUCCAUCAGUGCCGGAUAAGUGGGAAUGAGGGACACUUACUACUGAAGAUUGUGAAUUCCCUGCAUUAGGAGGAUAAUGACUGACGUGCAACUAUCUAUCUGAUGGUGACCAGUAUCUGUUAUUUUUUCUCUGGUGAAAGCUCUGUAGCAGCAAAAUACACAGUGACGAGUCAGAGCUUUCAGUCUCAAAAGGAUGUGCUUUUUAACAAUGAUGGACUGGAAAUUUCCUGAAAGAUUUCAGCUUGCUGUUCAAAGACUGACAUGAGUGUGCAAAGGGCCAGAAAAUGCAACUGGGGAAGUUAGCACCUGUGUCUAUCUUUAGUUUAAAAAAUGAAAAAUAGAGGCAUUUAGUCUUUGUGCAGAUAGUGGCACUAUACCAUUCAAAUAAUAUGUUACAUUGAGUUCUGACAAAAGUUUCCGUGUAUUUAUCUGUUUGUAUAUUCACAAAAUGGAACAUGUGAGCUGUGUGGAAUCACUUGCUUCAAUACAGAGGUCAGGACUCGGAUAGGGUUGAUUUCUUCAAUUCCCAUAUUACUGAUGGGGCAAUCUUAAUAUACUGUGGAAGAAAAAGUGUUUAAAAAGUCUGUUAUGGAUGAAGUGGGAAGCUAACUCCUUGCAUCCCUUCAUGCAGGCAAUACUGCUCCUACAGCUUUUUCUUAAACGUAAGUACCUCUGAGUUAACAUUAACUAACUUGGUGAAAAGCAGGAAUUUAGUAGAAAUGUCCCAUUGAAAAAUUGUAUUGAAAGAAAUCAUAUGUUACCUCAGAGAGAAACAUGGCCUUUCAUUAGUGAUUGAGCAAACCUAAAGAUCUCUGUGCAGAAAUAUUUCUGCCCUUAAAAAGAUUUAUUAUUGAGAACUUUAACUCAUAGAAUUUGUUUUAGCACAGAAUUAUGCUUGGUGCAUUUUGAAAUAUUAAAUAGAUACAUCAGUGGUUUAUCCAACUCUUUACCAGAUAAGCCCUGCUAGACACACAAGACUCGGAA